CUGAGCCGGGAGCUGCUCCCCUGUGCACGGCAUCACCAGUCCCACCGCGGACGGCUCUUCCCGCCCGACUUGCGCACCGCAGGUUUACUUUACGAGCAAAGGCAGAAUUUUGUUUUUCUGGGUGUAUGUGUGCGUGUAAGAGACUUGACGUGGGAGAAGACUUUGACCAGUUCUACAGCAAGCCUAAAUGAAGGACUGAAAGGCUUAGCUGCCCUUGAGAGGAAGCACUCCCUAUUACAGAGGGAGCUGGGAGUUGUGAGAGAGACACUGGAGCAACCACAGCUUCAGAGGGAUCUGCUGAGAGAUAGAGAAGAGAAGGAGGAGUUUGGCCUGGAACUGCUGAAGGUGGAGCAGUCAGUAGCAGAGCUGACAGGGGCUCAGAGUCAGCUGAGCGCAGAAAUAGCAGAUCUCCAUCUUGCGGCAGUGAAGAUGAGUGGCAUCGUUGGGGCUC